GAGGGUGUAGCUCAGUGGUAGAGUGUGUGCUUAGCUUGCACUAGGUCCUGGGUUCAAUCCCCAGUACCUCCA
rnacentral:tRNA from 1 species